ACGGAAGGCAGCAGUGGGGGAUAUUGCACAAUGGGGGAAACCCUGAUGCAGCAAUGCCGCGUGAGGGAUGAAGGUCUUCGGAUUGUAAACUUCUGUUAUAAAGGAAGAAUAAAAUGACGGUACUUUAUAAGUAAGCACCGGCAAACUACGUGCCAGCAGCCGCGGUGAUACGUAGGGUGCAAGCGUUGUCCGGAAUGACUGGGUGUAAAGGGUGUGUAGGUGGCUUAUUAAGUUAAAAGUGAAAGCCUGGGGCUUAACUCCAGAACUGCUUUUAAUACUGGUUGGCUUGAGUGUGGGAGAGGUAAGUGGAACUCCUAGUGUAGCGGUGGAAUGCGUAGAUAUUAGGAAGAACAUCAGAGGCGAAGGCGACUUACUGGAACAUUACUGACACUGAAACACGAAAGCGUGGGGAGCAAACAGGAUUAGAUACCCUGGUA
rnacentral:rRNA from 1 species